CAGAGUUACACAACUCCCAACCCCUGUGAACUUACCUACUGUUGCCUCGGCGGGACCUACCCGGGAGCCCUCGGGCGCCCCGGCGUGGCGGCCUGCCGGUGGACUACGAAACUCUUGCUUAUAACCUGGCUUCUGAGUAAAAACAUAAAGUAGUUA
rnacentral:misc_RNA from 1 species